UUUCUGAGACACGGUGACGAUGUAGAUUAUGGUAUUCUGGAAUGUGAUGCUGUGUAAGUUUGGGUUGGUGGUUACCAGCGUGUCGGAGGAACAUACUGCCUAAAUCUUCAGGGAGAGUAACAACCUUAGAAUACACAGUCUAUAUGAGACUCCUUGAAUAGGCCUAAUUUAUUGUAAUUUUGAAGUUUAUUCCUUAGAGCGCCUGAUUUGUAUUCUUAUGUGACCACGUUGUGACAUUGGUGGCACUGUUUGGUAGUAUAUGGACCAGCGGGUUUCAACCCGUGUGUUAAUGUCGGCAGUAUCUGCAUUAGUGUCCCUGUCAGAAAGUGUUCAGUUAAAUGAGGGACUUCAAAUCAAGAGCUAACAACUUCAUAAGGAUGCAUGCGAAUCGGAAAUAUCUUAAUCAAGCUCGAUAUUGAAAGAUUAAGCAAACGCUAUGUCAGAUAUCUUCGUAAUGACUGGUUUUGUUACAGGAAAAACUUAAUAAUAUGCAUAUAUUUAGUAGCAUUUUGAAUAAUUACUAUGAAUUUUAGUAAAUUAUCCUUUUACAACCUUGAAGCCCACGAGUCGAUAAGCAAGGGGGUAUGUGGACCAAGGCGUACAAAACGCUGAGAACCCCUAGAUAACUUUUCCCCCUUACUGUACUUUUCCAAUUAAUUAACUCCUAUACCGAUAAUAGGCCGAGUGUUAUCCUAUUGUGUGCGGCUAAAAGGAUCACCAAUUUCAACACGGAACCCGAGGAUAACAAUUUCAGACUGCAGAAUGGAAGCUUUUCUAUUCUGUCUCGUCCAAGAAAGAUCCUGAUGUAAACAAAGAGGAGUGACAGUGGCCUUCUGGCCACCGCACGAAUGGAGGAAGAUCGCUGCGCGUGUGUCAACCUCGUGUGCGUAAGCAAGAAAUAGUACCGUUAUCUAAUAAUAAUUUCUUUAUUGAAAAUUUUUCCACGGGAAUGUACAGACAAUUUCAUUACGUUUGGUACAUUUUUAUGAAUUUAGUAGUCCCUCUCGCGAAUUAAUUUUAAGCAGUCUGGGCCAAACACAAGGUAUCAGUUGACAGUGUUGCGAAACCUUGCGUUUCUCUCUACCAAUAACAUGGUGUGGUAGGAGGCGAAUUCUUCAUCUCUCUGUUUGUUCCAGGAUUGUUUCUGCAGGGGACAAAGUUGUGCAAGUUUUCCACUGACAAGGGUGUUUCCUUAUACUACCUGAAUUAAUUAUAAGUAGUCUGGUGUAAUUACAAGGGGCGUGACUGCGUCGGAACGAUUUAAUUUGACGAACUUAUUUAUUCCAAUGACCAACAUAGGAACUCUGAACUGUUCUGAUGUGACGGAUAAGGUGCAUGCCAGAAGUUUUUAUUGGAAUGCAUGUAGCUUCAAGCUACGUUUUACAGCUCGAUGGAAUUUAAGGUUUUCACAGCUUUAAAAACUCGGAUUGAGAACUCACCGGUUAUGACGCGAUACGUUCCAUGGCAAUGUGUGGCAACUGGCAAUGUUGGCAACAACCCGAAGACCGCAAUAUGUACCUAUGAUAUAACAUUUACUAACUCUGCAUUCUGCUCACGGAGUGUCAGUAUACUUUUCAGGAUAACGGCUGUUAUAUCCGUCUCUGCAGACCAGACAGUAAAGAAGAUGCAGAUUACUAUUAUUCCAACGAUGAUGACAGGGAUUAUGAUGAAGAUGAGCAGGACGACUCUUAUACUGGAUCGCCGCCUGUAA